rnacentral:rRNA from 1 species
AUUGAACGCUGGCGGCAUGCUUUACACAUGCAAGUCGAACGGCAGCGAGGAGAAGCUUGCUUCUCUGUCGGCGAGUGGCGAACGGGUGAGUAUGGCAUCGGAACGUGCCAAGUAGUGGGGGAUAACCAAACGAAAGUUUGGCUAAUACCGCGUAAGCUCUAAGGAGGAAAGUAGGGGACCUAAAUAAGGCCUUACGCUAUUUGAUCGGCCGAUGUCGGAUUAGCUAGUUGGUGGGGUAAUGGCUCACCAAGGCAAUGAUCCGUAGCGGGUCUGAGAGGACGAUCCGCCACACUGGGACUGAGACACGGCCCAGACUCCUACGGGAGGCAGCAGUGGGGAAUUUUGGACAAUGGGGGAAACCCUGAUCCAGCCAUGCCGCGUGUAUGAAGAAGGCCUUAGGGUUGUAAAGUACUUUUGUUAGGGAAGAAAAGCUAGUUUUUAAUAAAAAUUAGUGAUGACGGUACCUAAAGAAUAAGCACCGGCUAACUACGUG